AAAUCAUCAACAAACGCGAGUCGCUCAAAGAAUAGUCCUUCAACCAAUAAUUCUAACCAAUCAACAAACCAGCAAUCACAACAAAUCAAAAGAAUAAUCGAAACCCAUUAUGCGUGAUUAUAAAAGAAUAACCAAAACCCAUAAUCUGAAAUCAAAACUAAAAAUAAAGAAAAAUCAAAAGAAUGAAUCAAAAUUUAUCAACAAAAAAAGAAGCUGAAAUUAACGUAAGGGAUUACAAAUACUUAAAAGCUUGAAAUUUUGAUAAUUUCAUAAAAGCAAUAUCCCCUAAUUUGAAAUUAAACAACAAUCACAAAAAGAAGUAGUGGCAGUAGAUUGGGCGAGCAGAUGUAAAAAUGAUGAAGAACCAAUAAAAACCCAAAUCAAUACAUCAAAUACCCAAUAAAUUACAAAAGGGAAACCCCAAAUCAACACAGUAAAUCAAUAACCCAUUACCCAACUAGCACCAUGCUUCAAUACUCAAUAAGACAAAGAAGCAAGAUACAAGGAGAUCGUGAGAUGCAUGAGGUGAGAACCAAGAGGGAGAAAUGGAGGAUAGAAAUUCCAGGGAGAAGAAGACCGAUAAACAAUCUUUGGCAAACAGUAGAAUCGAUGGGUAAAUAGGCGAAAUAAACAAGACUGUGAGAGAAGAAACCUGAACCUGCGACAAAAACAAGAACUAAAAUUCUGCGUGGAAGCUUAAAUCCAAAAGGGAGAGGAGUAGCAAACAAAGGUGAGGAGCGAAUAAGGCAAGGAGGCGAGAAACGACAGCGAAAUGGUUAGAAGAGAGGCAGCAACGAGAGGUUGGUUUUGGAAGAGUAGAUUAGUAGAAUCGAGAUUAAGGGCCCG
rnacentral:misc_RNA from 1 species